rnacentral:lncRNA from 10 species
AGAGUCCAGGUUGGCGGGUCCUGGGGCGGAGUCAGGAUAGGGCGAUCCUGGAAGCUGGGCUUCAGAAGCGUCCAGAUAGGGUCUCUCUCUCUGCCACCCAGGCCAGAGUGCAGUUGACGCAGGGCAGGGGAGCCCCGAAGUGGAGCAUAGUGUGUCCGGAACUGGUGGGUUCUUGGUCUCACUGACUUCAAGAAUGAAGCCGUGGACCCUCACGUGUCUCACUCUGUUGCCCAGACUGGAGUGCAGUAGCACGAUCUUAGCUCACUGCAACCUCUGCCUCCCAGGUUCAAGCGAUUCUCCUGCCUCAGCCUCCAGAGUAGCUGGAACUACAGAUGCGCACCACCACGCCCAGGUGUAUCCAGCAGCUCAAGAGAGACAUCGACCAGCGAGAAGGGGCCAUGAUGAUGGUGGUGGUUUUGUGAAAACGAAAAGGGGGAUAUGUAGGGAAAAGAAAGAGAGAUCAGACUGUUACUGUGUCUACACAGAAAGGGAAGACAUAAGAGACUCCAUUUUGAAAAAGACCUGUACUUUAAACAAUUGCUUUGCUGAGAUGUUGUUAAUCUGUAGCUUUGCCCCGGCCACCUUGCCCCCAACCACUUUGACCCAACCUGGAGCUCACAAAAACAUGUGUUGUAUGAAAUCAAGGUUUAAGGGAUGUAGGGCUGUGCAGGAUGUGCCUUGUUAACAAAAUGUUUGCAAGCAGUAUACUUGGUAAAAGUCAUCGCCAUUCUCUAGUCUCAAUAAACCAGGGGUACAAUGCACUGUGGAAAGCCGCAGGGACCUCAGCCCUUGAAAGCUGGGUAUUGUCCAAGGUUUCUCCCCAUGUGAUAGUCUGAAAUAUGGCCUCGUGGGAUGAGAAAGACCUGACGGUCCCCCAGCCCGACAACCAUAAAGGGUCUGUGCUGAGGUGGAUUAGUCAAAGAGGAAAGCCUCUUGCAGUUGAGAUAGAGGAAAGCCACUGUCUCCUGCCUGUCUCUGGGAACUGAAUGUCUUGGUAUAAAACCCGAUUGUACAUUUGUUCAAUUCUGAGAUGGGAGAAAAACCGCCCUAUGGUGGGAGGCGAGACAUGUUUACAGCAAUGCUUCCUUGUUAUUCUUUACUCCACUGAGAUGUUUGGGUGGAGAGAAACAUAAAUCUGGCUUAUGUACACGUCCAGUCAUAGUACCUUCCCUUGAACUUCAUUAUGACAUAGAUUCUAUUGCUCACAUGUUUGUUGCUGACCUUCUCCUUAUUAUCACCCUGCCCUCCUACUACAUUCCUUUUUGCUGAAAUAAUGAAGAUAAUAAUCAAUAAAAACUGAGGGAACUCAGAGGCCGUUGCCAGUGCAGAUCCU